UCGAGGAUUAUUCGCAAUGGGCGAAAGCCUGACGAUGCGACGCUGUGUGAACGAUGAAGGCCUUCGGGUCGUAAAGUUCUUUCGCCUGGGGACAAGAGAGAUCGGAGAACAUCCAGUUGAUUUGAGGGUACCAGGUAAAGAAGCACCGGCUAACUCCGUGCCAGCAGCUGCGGUAAUACGGAGGGUGCAAGCAUUAAUCGGAAUUAUUGGGCGUAAAGGGCGCGUAGGCGGAUCGAUAAGAUAUGUGUGAAAUACCGGGGCUCAACCUCGGUGCGGCACGUAUGACUGCUCAUCUAGAGGUAUGGUGGGGAAAACGGAAUUCCACGUGUAGCGGUGAAAUGCGUAGAUAUGUGGAAGAACACCUGUGGCGAAAGCGGUUUUCCAACUUAAACCUGACGCUGAGGCGCGAGAGCAAGGGGAGCAAACAGGAUUAGAUACCCCCGUAGUCC
rnacentral:rRNA from 1 species